CGGCAAAAGCUCAAAUUUGAAAUCUGGCACCUUCGGUGUCCGAGUUGUAAUUUGAAGAAGGUAACUUUGGAGUCAGCUCUUGUCUAUGUUCCUUGGAACAGGACGUCACAGAGGGUGAGAAUCCCGUGCGAUGAGAUGUCUGAUUCUAUGUAAAGUGCUUUCGAA
rnacentral:rRNA from 1 species